AAGUUACCAUGGAAACGAGGCGACCGAAAGUGAAAACAAAGCGACCGAAGGUGAAAACGAAGCUCCGUGUCUUUUACGGGUUUCUUCACUGUUUUCAGAUUUGUCCAUGCUGAUGGCCAUGCAGCAGAGUUCAAGCAGACCUGUCAGAAAACAUCUCUAAGGUGUUAUGAACCAUAUGGCUAGUUACAGAAGCUCCAGUAUGGAUCCAGCCUCACUUGUGAAAGCCUUCAGAUGAUGCCAACACUCACAGAGACUUCAAAUGAUGGCAACUACAGUUGACGCCAAUACUCACAAAGACUUUGCACAAUGGCAACUAUAAAUGAUGACAACACUCACAAAGACUUCAGAUGAUGGCAACUUAAGCUGGACAUACAAAACUGCCAAACGUUAUAUUCUUAUCACGGCCUCGAAGCAUAAGUUUGCAGAUUUGCAACCCACUUUAUACUUUUACAAUACAUGGUAAUAUUUGAAUGGACAAUGUUUACUUUUUUAAGGUAAACUUGUACUGAGAUAUUCACAUUUAUUUGUUCACAAUAUUCUUCCGAAUACAUAUAUUACAGACAUUGUAACAAUAUAAGGUGGGUUGAAAAUCUGUAAACUUACUCUAUAAUAAUAAUUGUCUGUUUAACUGAGCAUGACUUCAAACACAUGACUUGCAUUAUCUUAGAGCUAUUGCUAUAUGAAAAUUAACAUACCCCUUGUUUCACAGACAAGGCUUAAGCCUUGUCCUAGACUAAGACAUGUGCUUGAGCUGUCUCAAGAUAGGCUACACACCACUAACAUCUUUUUCCAAGGCAUGUUUAUUCAAGAUGCUUAAACCCUUAUGAAAAUUAACAUGGUUGUACUACAGUUAAAACCAAAAAAACAUGGUUACUGUGGUAAAACCAAAGUAACUACAAAAUAACCAUGGUUUUGAUGGUUUUCAAAAACCAUAGUUAGUGUAGUUAAACCAUGGUUUUGCUGACAGUAAUCAAUACAAAACACAAAAAACCCCAUGGUUACUACACUUUUACCACAAUAAAACCAUGGUUAAUUUUCAUAAGGGAACAUCUUAAUUGAAGUAAGGUCUUGGCCUUUAUGUUGCUUAACGCAUUAAGGCAGUUGAAUUAAAAGAUCAAAUUUGGUAUACAAUUUCUUAUUUAAACAUACUGGGGUGGUUUCCUGUACAGGGAUUAGCUUAAACCAGGACUAGGUCUUAGUUUAAUUAGGAAAUAUAACUAGUUUUAACAAACAUGGCUUACUAAAAACAUUACUGGUGUGCAUUUUGAUGCAAAACAAAAGGCACUUAUUUUAAGGUAUAUCAGUGCAAGUUGUUUUCAGUUUGGACAGCUCUUACAUUUAUUUAAGUCUAGCACUAGUCUUUUCCCGGUCCGGGAAACCGCCCCACUAUGUAAGGGCUAGCAAGAUUAGUCAAUAAAAUAAAUGCAAUGCUUUAAAUUACAGUUUGCUUGUAAUGUAAUUAACUAGGUGUAUACUAAAUUGUAUCUUGUCAUGUUAUGCAUUUAAAUGUGGUUGUCACUCCCGAAAGUUUUCAGUGUCUACAAGAGUGGUACAUAAGAAACUGAGAGCAUCAGCUGUGUGUAGUGACAGAAACGCUGCACGCUGUGUAGCCUACGCAGUCGUUUAAUCGUUCGGCAGAGAUGUGAGAAAUACUGUCAAAGGUGAGGGAAAACAUCUGAAUUAAUAAUAAAAUGAAUUGUCAAUGAUCCAGAAGCACGAAACAAGCGGGUAUUUAAAGAGUUAUGUAUUCAUUCAGUUUGAUAUUUAGCCAUUCGUGUCUGCUGACACUGCAAAUAUGCAAUAAGUUAACCCAGGGUUUAGUAAUGUAAACAUACAUAUGCAUUGUGAAACGUGAAACAGGUAGGCUAACCCAGGAUUCAGCUAACCCGGGUUACCUGUACUGCAGCAUGGUACUUGUUAAAAUAAAUAAUAAUAAUAAUAAUAAAUACAAUCGGUGAGAGUUUUUUUCUAGAAAAAUAAAUACCAUGUAAAUCUAAUAAUUUUGUAUUUUGCUGAGCCGCUUUGAACCAGAUUUCUUUUUCUUUUUUUCUCUCUCGCUAUCAUAGUAACGCUAUGAACCAGAUGACAUCAUAUUAGAAUGCGUGAUGUCACAGAGAUAAAGCGCAGUUUGCAGUGUGUUUGGUCAUUCUAGGUGAGGCUCAGAACAGUAAAGGUUGACAACUCUCAGGGAGACGCUGCAAGGGAGGUAGGAAAGAAAACCUUAUCAAGCAUUACAACGUGCUAGACAUCAACUGCUUUGGCUAAUAUAACAAUUAGUCAACAUGUUUUUGUAAAUUGACCCAAAAAGGCCAACAAUUUAGAAACACUAACAAGUGAUUGGAAAUAUUGAGUACUUCACUUAUAUUCACAAAAUAUC